rnacentral:lncRNA from 1 species
UUUAACUGUACUUAAAAAAAUAUGUGCCGCUUUUGCAUUUCGGUUCUAUACGUAGCAAGUCAAGCAAACCGCUCAUAUAAAUUAUGCUGUAUGAUUGAGCUGUACGAAAUGAAAAAAAACGUACGACGUUAUUUAUACAAUGCAUGAAAAAUAACGUCAAACUAACGUUACCAAAACUAACACCAACACCGUACGCGACGUCAGAACAAUUUAUU